AUUGAACGCUGGCGGCAGGCCUAACACAUGCAAGUCGAGCGGAGCGGCGGACGGGUGAGUACUGCCUAGGAAUCUGCCUGGUAGUUGGGGAUAACGUCCGGACCCGGGCGCUAAUUCCGCCUCCUCUCAGAUGAGCCUAGGUCGGAUUACCUAGUUGGUGGGUUAACGGCUUACCAAGGCGACGAUCCGUAACUGGUCUGAGAGGAUGAUCAGUCACACUGGAACUGAGACACGGCCCAGACUCAUACGGGAGGCAGCAGUGGGGAAUAUUGGACAAUGGGCGAAAGCCUGAUGCAGCCAUGCCGCGUGUGUGAAGAAGGUCUUAGGAUUGUAAAGCACUUUAAGUUGGGAGGCGUUACCAACAGAAGAAGCACCGGCUAACUUCGUGCCAGCAGCCGCGGUAAUAC
rnacentral:rRNA from 1 species